ACCGUUGAAUCCUAGUUCCAAAAGAGUUCGCUCACGGACUUAAAAUCCGUUGAGUAUUGCACUCGUGCGGGUUCGAUUCCCGCUGUCGGUA
rnacentral:tRNA from 1 species